AUCGAACGCUGGCGGCAGGCCUAACACAUGCAAGUCGAACGAGUGGCGGACGGGUGAGCAAUGUCUGGGCAACUGCCUGAUCGAGGGGGUCAACUACUGGAAACGGUAGCUAAUACCGCAUACUUUCAGAUGUGCCCAGUUGGGCUUAGCUAGUUGGUGGGGUAACGGCUCCGCAAGGCGACGAUCCCUAGCUGGUCUGAGAGGAUGAACAGCCGCGCGGGAACGGAGACACGGUCCAGCUUCCAACGGGAGGCAGGAGUGGGGAAUAUUGCGCAAUGGGCGCAAGCCUGAUGCAGCCAUGCCGCGUGUGUGAAGAUGGCCUUCGGGUUGUAAAGUACUUUCAGCGGGGAGGCGUUACCCGCAAGAGAAGCACCGGCUAACUCCGGGCCAGCAGCCGCGGUAAUAC
rnacentral:rRNA from 1 species